rnacentral:rRNA from 1 species
AUGGCCUGGUACAUUUGUAAGCACUGCAGUGCGAUCAUCUUUGACAACGCUCUGGUCAGCUUAGCUCGUCUCCUUGACACGGUAAAGGCGGAGGCGGGGCAAUGGGUGAUGGCAAGAGUGCAUGAUCUAGCGGCUUUGCUUCCGGUGGUGGCAGCACCUAGCGGCUAG